rnacentral:rRNA from 1 species
AGAGUUUGAUCCUGGCUCAGGAUGAAUGCUGGCGGCGUGCCUAACACAUGCAAGUCGAGCGGUAACAGGUCUAGUUUACUAGAUGCUGACGAGCGGCGGACGGCUGAGUAACGCGUAGGAACGUGCCCCAAAGUGAGGAAUAAGCUCCAGAAAUGGAGUCUAAUGCCGCAUAUGAUCUUCGGAUUAAAGUAUUUAUACGCUUUGGGAGCGGCCUGCGUUAGAUUAGGUAGUUGGUAGGGUAAUGGCCUACCAAGCCGACGAUCUAUAGCUGGUCUGAGAGGAUGAUCAGCCAGACUGGGAUUGAGACACGGCCCAGACUCCUACGGGAGGCAGCAGUGAGGAAUCUUCCACAAUGGGCGAAAGCCUGAUGGAGCAACGCCGCGUGAAGGAUGAAGGCCCUCGGGUCGUAAACUUCUUUUAUAAGUGAAGAAUAUGACGGUAACUUAUGAAUAAGCACCGGCUAACUACGUG